rnacentral:rRNA from 1 species
AGUGAACGCUGGCGGUAGGCCUAACACAUGCAAGUCGAACGGCAGCACAGUAAGAGCUUGCUCUUACGGGUGGCGAGUGGCGGACGGGUGGGGAAUACAUCGGAAUCUACUUUUUCGUGGGGGAUAACGGAGGGAAACUUACGCUAAUACCGCAUACGACCUACGGGUGAAAGCAGGGGAUCUUCGGACCUUGCGCGAUUGAAUGAGCCGAUGUCGGAUUAGCUAGUUGGCGGGGUAAAGGCCCACCAAGGCGACGAUCCGUAGCUGGUCUGAGAGGAUGAUCAGCCACACUGGAACUGAGACACGGUCCAGACUCCUACGGGAGGCAGCAGUGGGGAAUAUUGGACAAAGGGCGCAAGCCUGAUCCAGCCAUACCGCGUGGGUGAAGAAGGCCUUCGGGUUGUAAAGCCCUUUUGUUGGGAAAGAAAAGCAGCAGGUUAAUACGCCGCUGUUCUGACGGUACCCAAAGAAUAAGCACCGGCUAACUUCGUG